AGGUGGUCUCGGGAGGUGGCAGCAAGCAGGGUCCCGCAUUCGGGAGGCGACUGCGCCCAUCGGGCCUCAGAGGAAGGAAACACGCUUUCUUCGUCCCCCACUGUGCAAACGCUCCGGGCUAACUCACAUAACCUUUUGGUAUAGCACAAUGAAUUCAAGGGACCAGCAGUAACAUAAAAUAGGAGGACCAUUAGUCAAGAGGACCCCUUGGAGAGGAUGGAAAGUGCAGCAGUGCUUUAUCAUGCAUUUCAGCAGGUCUU
rnacentral:lncRNA from 1 species